GAUGAACGCUGGCGGCGUGCCUAAUACAUGCAAGUCGAGCGAACAGACGAGGAGCUUGCUCCUCUGACGUUAGCGGCGGACGGGUGAGUAACACGUGGAUAACCUACCUAUAAGACUGUGAUAACUUCGGGAAACCGGAGCUAAUACCGGAUAAUAUAUUGAACCGCAUGGUUCAGUAGUGAAAGACGGUUUUGCUGUCACUUAUAGAUGGAUCCGCGCCGCAUUAGCUAGUUGGUAAGGUAACGGCUUACCAAGGCGACGAUGCGUAGCCGACCUGAGAGGGUGAUCGGCCACACUGGAACUGAGACACGGUCCAGACUCCUACGGGAGGCAGCAGUAGGGAAUCUUCCGCAAUAGGCGAAAGCCUGACGGAGCAACGCCGCGUGAGUGAUGAAGGUCUUCGGAUCGUAAAACUCUGUUAUUAGGGAAGAACAAAUGUGUAAGUAACUAUGCACGUCUUGACGGUACCUAAUCAGAAAGCCACGGCUAACUACGUG
rnacentral:rRNA from 1 species